GUCAUGUUCAAAGGCGGAGCCACGGGCAUUGACUGGACGGACGAGUUGGCGUCGCUAUGUUGUGUGUUGAAACAGGUUUUGAGUAAAAAAACAUCACUGACUAAUAAUUUUAGUCUGAAUGUGGAAUGAAACCAGUCGGUAACUACAGGAACCCCACAGAGAGGCUGCACAUAAGAGGAUGGCACAUCCUGGCAGAAUGACAUGGAUCCCCCCACAUGAGCAUUUCUCUCCCAAGGCCUAUUGCCAGACAAUAUCUUGCCCAUCAAUUUGUGGUGGUGUUGCCAAGUACAAAAAAAGCUUAAAACAUGUUGCACCUGGUAUCUUGAAGGUUAUAUAUCUACUUUAGGUGUAAUGUCAGCAUGUUUCAAGCUUAUGUCCUACUCUGCAACCGUGGCUGGCCAAGACUGUAACUGUAGGGGUGCACCAUAUCCCUGCAUGUUUUCCACAAUAACAUUUCAGCUAAAUCAUUUGUGCCUGACAAAAGCCAAGCCUUAAAUGUUGUCCAAAAGCAAACACAUUUUUUGGAUGAGAAUUCAGGGCUAUCCAAAACGGAUGUACUUAAUGUGUUCCUCGGCUACUACAGAGAUGAAAAGUUGCUUAAAGUAAGGUCUGAAUGUGGCAGAAAUGAGAAAAUAUACCCCCUGGGCACAGAUUCAGAGCACUAAGACAUAGAUCAUAUCCUCAUAUAAUAAAGAUGACAGCAGGCCAGGACUGGCAAUCUCUAGAUUCUUGGCAAAUGCCAGAGGGGACACUGUAAGAUGCCAUAAACAGUCAUUAUUUAUUUGGCUGGUUGGGCCUCUGUGUGCUUAAAGCCAUGGUCUGUCCCAGUACAGACCUGGAUGACAAUAUGUCAAAUGUUUAGAGAAAAAACAAGUCUACCGUAGUUUUUCAACUGUGUUGGAGGAAUAAAUGUCUUUACAGGGUUAUUUUCAAAAUAUCUUACCUCCCAACAUUUUGAAAAUGGAAAGAGGGAUAAAAAUAAAUAUACAAAUUUGUAUAGUUGCACUCAGCACUGUUCAGACCUACCUGCUUUCCAGCUGAUUGGGGCGCUGCUGCAUCUAUUGACACAUGGUAACCCCAGAGCUACCUCCGGACCAGCCAGUAGCUCUAGGGGUUCUCAGCACCCUACAUGAAUAGGCACAGCACACCUGGGCUAAAAGAGUAUGGAGCAUAUGUCACUUUCACACCAAACACCUCAAUAAGGAUGGGAUUCUAGGGAAAGUGGUGCAUUGUGGGCAAAAAAAACAUGGUGAUUGCGCUGGAAAUUGCACUUUGAUUAAUGCCUUGGUAAGUGAAUGCACCCUAUAUUUUGGCUCUGGAGUUGCCCAGUUGUACAAAACCAUUACCAUUUUCAAAGGUAAUAAAUACUUGUUUAAAUGGUG